UGCAUCGGCCGGGAAUCGAACCUGCGUGGCAGGCGAGCAUUCUCGCUAUUGAACUACCGAUGC
rnacentral:tRNA from 1 species